rnacentral:tRNA from 1 species
GGGGUUGUGGCUCAGUAGUAGAGUGCUUACCUAGCAUGUGUGAGGCACUGGGUUCAAUUCUCAGCACCACA